rnacentral:lncRNA from 1 species
CUAAACCCACUCACCAAAAGCAUUCACAAAUAUCUUUCAUCAACUCAUCAUCAUCCAUAAAAAUGGCUUCUUCUUCUUCUUCUUCCUCCAAGACCCUCAUUGCUCUCUUCCUCUCCCUCAAUCUUCUCAUCUUCUCCUUCUUCUCGCAAGCCUCGGCUCAGACUGCGACGACGACACCGGCACCGACCUGCCCAGAUCUACGUGCUUGCAGUCAACUACCGCUAAGCGGUGCAUGCUGCAUGGUGUUUGCUACAGUCACCGAUGCUACUGAAGCCGCCAACUGCAUUUGCAAUGCCCUUAAAGCCGCUCCAGCCGGCCCUGGUCAACUCCUCCCAGAUCUUAGCCAGCUUAUCACGUUUACUUUCGCGCAAUGCGGCAGGGCGCCUCCCUCCAACCUCGCCUGCUCUAAAUGAUGCAUGAACUCAACCAUCGCGGGUCAUUUUCAAUAACUAGUUAUUUGUGUUACUACUACUACUUGCGUACUUUCAGUUUGACUUGCUGCCUGCUAUAUAUGCAACCAUGUUCUUGGCGAAACGACCGAGUUUAAUUAAUGGUCAGCAGAUAGCAGUUCCAAUCUGUCGAUGUUGGGAUCGACCAAUAAUGAUUUGUGUACUAUGAAUAAAAUGGCAUAUCAUGUUGUGGAAUAAUAACAAGGCUAGCCUAAUAACAACAAUAAUAUUUUUACUAAUAUAUAUAUAAUUGAUCGUCCGAAUAACUGUAAAGUUAUUCCGACAACACAAGUGUCGUUUGUGUCCGAA